rnacentral:rRNA from 1 species
GAUGCGGAAGGAUCAUUA